GCAGCGGACAAUCACGCACCAAGAUGCUACAGGUGAGACAGGUAAAGAUCAGACAGGUAGAGGUGAGAAAGGUAAAGAUCAGACAGGUGAAGAUCAGACAGGUAAAGAUCAGACAGGUGAAGAUCAGACAGGUGAAGAUCAGACAGGUAGAGGUCAGACAGGUGAAGAUCAGACAGGUGAAGAUCAGACAGGUGAAGAUCAGACAGGUAGAGGUCAGACAGGUGAAGAUCAGACAGGUGAAGAUCAGACAGGUAGAGGUGAGAAAGGUAAAGAUCAGACAGGUAAAGAUCAGACAGGUAAAGAUCAGACAGGUAAAGAUCAGACAGGUAAAGAUCAGACAGGUAGAGGUGAGAAAGGUAAAGAUCAGACAGGUGAAGAUCAGACAGGUAGAGGUCAGACAGGUAAAGAUCAGACAGGUGAAGAUCAGACAGGUAGAGGUGAGAAAGGUAAAGAUCAGACAGGUAAAGAUCAGACAGGUAAAGAUCAGACAGGUAAAGAUCAGACAGGUAAAGAUCAGACAGGUAGAGGUGAGAAAGGUAAAGAUCAGACAGGUGAAGAUCAGACAGGUAGAGGUCAGACAGGUAAAGAUCAGACAGGUGAAGAUCAGACAGGUAAAGAUCAGACAGGUGAAGAUCAGACAGGUAGAGGUGAGAAAGGUAAAGAUCAGACAGGUGAAGAUCAGACAGGUAAAGAUCAGACAGGUGAAGAUCAGACAGGUAGAGGUGAGACAGGUGAAGAUCAGACAGGUAGAGGUGAGAAAGGUAAAGAUCAGAUAGGUAGAGGUGAGAAAGGUAAAGAUCAGACAGGUGAAGAUCAGACAGGUGAAGAUCAGACAGGUGAAGAUCAGACAGGUAAAGAUCAGA